CCCGGAACCUCCGCGUCUGAAACCUCUCUGCUCCUGAAUGUCUCCUCGCCUCAUUCACUCUUGACAGCCCUGACCCUGGAAUCUGCCCCCCACCUCCAAUUCCAUCCUUGAUGGGGGUGCGGUGGCGAGGUGGGAGGAACAGUGUGCAACCUCCUGGGGCUCCGGCGUGCAGCCCCUCACCCCAGGAAGCCGUCCCUCCUCCCCUGCCCUCUGGCGAGCUGGGUGGUCGGUGCACUCUCGCCCUUUUCCUCCAGAGUCUGCCUUCCAUUCUACCCCUCUGGGUCUGUCCACACGCUUGGUAUUAGCCCAAGUUCUUAUCUGUCCGCGCCCUUCGCCUCUCUCCGUCUCUGCAGGUUUCUCUCUAGAUCUGAGACUCUAGCUUCACUCUCCCUCUCCCUGACUCAGCUGCCCUUCUGCUUUCCCCAUCCUUCCUAUCCCCUCUUCUCUCCCCUUCCUGCCCUCCUCCCCUCCCCGCCCCCGCCCCAGGCAGACCCUACCUGAGUGAGGGGCCCGCGAGGAGCGUCAGCCGCCAGCUGUCUAGAACUUCAGCCCCGAACCAUGGCUUUUAACCCCUGAACUCCCUCCCCCAGCUCGCUCAGCAUUUCCUGGUCCCUGGCCUCCCCCUCUCCACCCCCAGUGGCUCAGCGGGAUGUCUCCAGGCACCCCCGACCUGGGCUUGGCCCUCUGCUUGGGGCGGAGCUUCCAGGACGUGCUGGGACCUAGGUCUGACCCCGCCCAAGGCAGAGUUGAACCCACUGUGAACUUUCAGGCCUCAGGACCCAAAAAAGGACACAAGGACACGCACAAUUAUCCCAUCAUCCUGCCUCCCUGCUCCCGCCAACCACCGGACACAAGAAGGAAAUCAUCAGCUGGGUGGAUAGAAAAUCAACUCCCACGGACUUGGAUGGGGGCAGAGAUGGGACCUGAGAAAGCAACAUUUUCCAGAAAUGGCCUUUUAGGAGCAGGGCCAGAGGGGGUGCAGGUCUUUCCUCCACCACAGAGAACCGGGCUGGAGAAAGAAGAAGAAAGGACCCGAAAAAGAGAUGGUGUUCCUAGUGGUUCUGACCUCAGACUCUGGAGCUAGACUGCCUGAGUUCAGGCUGAGAAAAUGGGGGUCGUGACCAACUCAGUUUACCACUCGAGGCUAUAUGAGCAAACAGAAAACUGUUCUCAUGAAAGCAGGAUGUUGGAAAACUGACAACUGCAUCUGCCACCAGAAAAGGUGCUGAGGGCAGUCACGCCUCAAGCACAGUGUUCCUUGUGAUUAUCCGAAAGAACAUCUGAAGCCUGUUGUACAAAGAAAACAAUUAUAUGUACCUGUGAUUAAUCAAGCAGCUGAUCAACCGUUACCUCUCCCUCCCUGCUCUUUCUACCUAAUAUAAAUGAAGGGCUGUGGAAGCUCAAGGCUGCCCUUGCUCACCAGAAGCAAGGAGCUCCCUGACACAUUCUUUC